UGAAGGGAAAGAACGACGAGGAACAAAAGUAAUCAAACAAGAGUGCGUUCGAAACAAAGAGCCGUUUUAAUAUUAAACGGCCAAACUUAAGUCAAUUUAACAACUGAGAAUGAAGCAAGAAGAGAACUGGCACCGCGUUUAUUGGCAGACUUGAUGCAAAUGGUUGUGAACCUGUUGCCAUCGCGACAAGAAGCAGCGGAGGCCCCACCUUCCUCCCGCCGUGUUUCACACAGCGACGCGAUCGGUUGCCGCCGGCUCCGGUCAGGACCUCAGCCAAUGGGACAAAGCCACUGGAGCGAGCGGGGUUAUGCUCUUGCAGUGAAUUGCUGGGUUGCUGAUGAUGAAGUAUCGACGUCAUGAAAUGCAGACAGGAGCAGAAAUGUGUCCAAAAAAGGAUGACAAAAAUGGAUCAGCAAUCUACAGCUAAAAACAGGAGGUGCAGAAUCGAACAGUGCAAGAGUUUGCAGCGACCACUUUCUAACAGAAAGCCAUCUCAACUAACUCGUUUUGGUGCUGAGGACCUCAGCUCCGAGCUCCACCUGGAUGACAGAGAUCUUCACCUUGUCUCCUUGCUGAACCUGGUCACACAGAGGAAGCUCGUUUUUUCUACCCAGGAUCAUCUUCUUUCAGCCAUGACACCUUGUGACUAUAUGUGAAAGCUGGAAUAAACAAAUAAAGAACUUUACUUCAUAACUCAGGUCCUCCUUCACCUUGACAGACCAGAGCAACAUCAUCAUUACUGCAGAUGAGACCAUGAUCCAUCAGUCCAUCUCCUGCUCCUUCCUGACAUUCAUUGUGAAAAAGACUCCCAGAGGAAACAGCCGCCAAAGAGCAAGAAAACACACAGUAAAUUGUUUAAAGUAUUUCUGGAAAUUCUUGCCUUUUAUUGACAAAGGAUUUAAAAAAAAGAUGAAUCAAUACAUUUGUGAAGUAUUUUGCAUUAGAUGCCUUGAAAUUUUAAUUUAAUAACUUUAAUCAUUUUAUUUUCUUUUGUUACCGGCCCAGACAUCCUGAUUUUAUUCAAUAUUAAUUUAAUGCAUCAGAUACUUAUACUUAGGCCCGUCACAAUAACAAACAUUGCUGGACGAUAAAUUGUAUCAGAAAUUGUUGUGAUACAUGAUAAUAUUGUUUAAAAACUAUUAUAUACUAAUAUAAUAAUAAUAACAAACUGGUGGCAUGGUGGCCUGGGGCGCCACCAGCUGAAAGAAGAUGAUGCUCAUCUGGCUAAAUGCCUGUUGACAGGGUUCUCAUAAAUGAAAUGAAAAUGAUCAAACUCA